AUGUCGUCCAUUGCUUCUCUCAUCGCCUCCAGGUCCAGCUUCGCCAGGUGCGGCCACGCUCUCCCCGCCGCCAUCUCUCAGACCCAGCACGCCGCGUCUCCGCUGCUCUCGGGGUUCGGAUCAGCGGCUCGCGCUUUCAGCUCAAGGCCUCUAUGGAAGGGAGCGUUCGUCGACGCGUUCCUGCAGAGAAUAAAGAAUAGCGGGGGGAGCCUGAACGGCAGGAAGAUCUGGUCUCGCCGGUCUUCGAUCCUGCCGGAGUUCGUCGGCUCCUCCGCGCUCAUCUACAACGGCAAGACCCACGUCCGCUGCAGGGUCACCGAAGGGAAGGUCGGCCAUAAGUUCGGGGAGUUUGCUUUUACGCGGAAACGGAGGCCCCAUCGCGCGAUUACGGCGAAGAAGGCCGGUGGUCAAGGAAAGGGGAGGAAGUAG
rnacentral:rRNA from 1 species